GGGACUAUACUUUCAGGGAUCAUUUCUAUAGUAUCCAACUAGAGAAAUGCACUCGAAAGUGGUCGGCUGGGCUGAGUUUACAGAGUCAGC
rnacentral:snoRNA from 1 species